AAAGCAAUCUACAGACCAAAAAAUGUGGUAAAGUCCAUGACCAGAGAUGGGAAACACACCUCUAAAAAGAGAUGCUACAGAUCUGAAGAAAAAAAGUGUUCAAAGAAACUGGAAGGAAUGGCAGAAAGACACAGAAAUAUAUUUCUCACAACAGCACUCUUGCAAUUCUGCUGUCAAUGGAGAGAAAACAGUUGAAGUAGAAAACCUCUGAGAGAUUUUCCUCCUGCAUCAUAAAAUAAAACUGUUUAUUACAAACUAUGGAAUGAGAAUGAUGAACAGUUAUGUGGGUGUUGCAGAAGUAAAGGGAGCAGAAGGAUGAGUUGACAAUGGACUUCUAUCUCACGACUUCCUACUUUCUCAUACAAUAUAUAGAGGAUGACAACCUCAAUAAUUUCUCUGUUCCUUCCCAGGAUGUCUGAGCAUCUGUACAUCAUUCAAAGGAAUGCCUAUGAACCACUGAAACGCCUCAAGAGGUAGGAACUCUAAGUAUACAUGUGGAAGGAAGCUGCAACAGCUAAAACUGAAGUCACAGGAAGUAAAAGUUGGAAACUGAAGCUCCAUAUCACGAACACAAAACUUUAGCUAUUGAGAGCACCUUCACUCCUCAUUUAAUUUUUCCCUCGGUUGCACCACUUCAUUUGCCAUGAGGAGUAUCAAAAAACAUAACUGUGAAUGAUCACAGUCCUCUCUUUAUCCAACCUGAGGGCUGACUGUGCAGGCAGGCUGGCUGCCACAGAACUCAGGAAGCAACAGAACUGCAGGGGUUUUCUGCCUUUCAAGCAGGGAGUGUUCAAAGAGAGUAAAGACAAGUAAGCCAGACCAGACCAGCUCCAUGGUGUUAUCUCUAAUGUCGAUUGCCAGAACUAGCUCAAAUGAAUCAAAGCAUGAGGAUCUUCACUCACCUUGUGGGGGCCCUACAGUCUCCCUGGGAACAUCCUACUGGUACCUUUACAUGGAAAGGUGGACUCUCCUCUGAGGUGGUUUGUUUCCACUGCCAAUGGGCAUGUUGACUUAAAAAUUAAAUAUCCCUACUGAGUGACAAAAUUUGGAGAAGUCUAAUCCAGAAAAUUAAACAGUGAAAUGUUUAGUCA